UAUUAUACAAAUAAUGAAUGUUUAUGAGUGCAAUGGUAAGAAUAUUUUCAUGAGGUGAAAGAUGGAAUGUUCCAUUCAACGAGGCGACGGCCAAGUUGAAUGGAACAUUCCAUCUUUCACCUCAUCAAAAUAUUCUUACCAUUGCACAAAUAAAAACAUUCAUUAUUUGUUUUAUA
rnacentral:miRNA from 1 species